rnacentral:lncRNA from 1 species
CCGCCGCUGUAGCCGCCGCCGCCGGAUCACUAUCCCUAUGUCGAGCUUUCUGCAACAAAAGUUGCAGGCUCGACAAAAACUAGAGGCUCUAAAGAGCUUGUGUCGCUCACUUUGGUCUAUGUGAGUAUUAAACAAAAGAAGCAGAUGGAUUCAUGACAAAAUUGUGUUUUGGUGAUGGUGAUGUGUUUGUACAUCUUACUUUACUAAACAGUCUUGUUGCUUACAAUUAUCUCUAUCUAUAAUGAACUUGGCCCAGUAGUUUCAGUGGAAAAUGUUAAUAAAAAUUUACAAAUUUUAUGAAAAUUGUAAAAAAUUGACUAUAAAGGACAAUAACUGCUUAGGGGGUCAAUUGACCAUUUCGGUCAUGUUGACUUAUUUGUAAAUCUUACUUUGCUGAACAUUAUUGCUGUUUACAGUUUAUC